GCCUGGGUGGCUCAGUCGGUUGAGCGUCCGACUUCGGCUCGGGUCAUGAUCUCGCGGUCUGUGAGUUCGAGCCCCGCGUCGGGCU
rnacentral:tRNA from 1 species